UUUCAGGAUCCACCACCAAGAAAGAUCAAUGUACAUUCAAAGAAGAAACAGAAGGUUGAUUCAUUAACACCAGUAGCGAAGAAAUCUUUAAGGAAAAAGCAAGUAAACGAGCAUAUCCAAACGAGGACACCAGUUCCUCGUGCUGCAAAGACUGAUGGAAUGAAGACAUCAGUUUUCAAGCCAAUUCCAACACGAUAGGUAUUUUCUUCAAAAACAAAGGAAGGAAAGCAAACAGCUCAGGUUAUUUUUCCUCAGGUAUAGUCAAAGCCAGAUAUUCAUGUAGAGGAAGUAGCCGUGUCAAAGCCUGAGAGUCAUGUUGAGAAAGAAGCCUUUAUUUCUAAGAAAGAUUUUGAUGCAUUCCGCGAUGAGAUAAUUAUUUUUUGACAAAUAUUUAUUUUACAUGAAAAAAAACUUUGUUUAUUGAUUUUGUAUCAAAACAGGUCCGUCGCGAGUUUAAAGAAAUUCAUGGACUAAUGAGAAAAAAAUUCAAAAAGAUGAAGAAAGUAUUUGCUCAAAGCAAGGUUAAUUUUUUCUUUGAAAAUCUUAGUUGAUUUGAAUAUGUAUACUUAUUGGACUGCCUUAUACAAAUACAGCAUAAUAACUCAUUAUGUUAUUGGACUUAAUUUUUUCAGGAUCAGGUUGUAGAUAUAGAAGCUGAUAAACCAAAUAUUGAUGAGGGAGGGUUAGAGUAAUCUGGACAACAUUUUAGUUCUGAUGUAGUUCAAUCUUCAGAUAAUAUUUCUGACGGUACAAAGGCAAAUAUUAAAGUUCAAAUACAGAUUUAGUUGUACUUUUAAAGUUUAUAUUCAAAAUACAUUUGAGGUUAAUAGAACUUUCAAACACAUUGAAUUUUUAGUUUUGUUCAAAUAUAUAUAUUUUUCAGUUUGAUGUUACAUAUCAAUAUGUAUUUUUUAUGUGUUCUACACACUGUAAAUGUAUUUUUUAGUUUUAUUCAUAUGUAUUUUUUUAACACUACAUAUAUGUGUAUUUUAACACUGAGUGUUUUUUUGUUAUGUUCAUAAAUAUGUAUUUUUGAGUUUUAUGUUAUAUAUCAAUAUGUACUUUUAAUGUGUUGUAUACACUGCAUAUGUAUUUUUAUUAUACUCAUAUGUAUUUUUUAACACUUCAUAUGUAUUUUAACAAAGACUGUUUUUCUUGUUAUGUUCUUUAAUAUGUAUUUAUGAGUUUAAUGUUAUAUAUCAAUAUGUAUUUUAUUGUAUUUGUAUAUACAUAUAUUCAUUUUCAUUAAAAAAAAAUACGUAUUUUGUUUGACUCAAGUAUUAAUAGGUUAUUUCAAUUUGUAUAUGUAUUUGUAGCAACAACAUGUAGAUAAAGAUUCUAU
rnacentral:lncRNA from 1 species